GGGACCUAGAACGGGCCUAGCUCAGAGCAGGUGCUCACUAUUGAUGGAAUGCAUGUUGAAAGAAUGCGUGAAUCUCAUCUCCUUUUGUGGGUGAAAAUCUCAUCCUAUUCUCACUCCUGAUUAACUUUCUUUCUUUUUUUUUUUUUUCAAAAUGGAGCCCUGAUCUGUCACCCAGGCUGCAGUGCAAUGGUGCAAUCUUGGCUCGCUGCAACCUCUGCCUUCUGGAUUAAAGCAAUUCUCCUGCCUCAGCCUCCUGGGUAGCUGGGAUUACAGGUGCACGCCACCACGCCCGGCUAAUUUUUUGUAUUUUUAAUAGAGACAGGGUUUCACCAUGUUGGCCAGGCUGGUCUCAAACCCCUGACUCUGUGAUCUGCCCGCUUUGGCCUCCCAAAGUCCUGGGAUUACAAACAUGAGCCGCCGUACCCAGCCACUCUUGAUUAACUUAAUGGAAAUAUUUAGAGAUUCUUUCUCUUCUGGGUUCUAGAGUCUUCUCUGUAACCUCUGCAGGGGAGUCCUUGAGCAGAAGGAAGCAAGUUGCCUGAGAUUCUUCAAAGCCCGCAGCCCUUUUGGAUGUAGAAGUUGCUGGUCCCAUCUUGCUCACAAUCCUCCAAAGUUUGAAAGUUAUUUUCCAGGAGACUUGGCUUGCACUGAGAGCUGCCCUCCCACCCUCUCUCCAAAUUUCCUCUUGGGGGUAGCCUAACAAGGUGCUGUCACAGACCCUUGUCAGCCACUAUGACCCCACCCAGACCAUCCCUCUGCUGUUUCACUCUUUGAUAGUCUCUGGAGCUCUCUGGGGAGGGGU
rnacentral:lncRNA from 1 species